rnacentral:rRNA from 1 species
UGGGGAAUAUUGCACAAUGGGCGCAAGCCUGAUGCAGCCAUGCCGCGUGUAUGAAGAAGGCCUUCGGGUUGUAAAGUACUUUCAGCGAGGAGGAAGGCGUUGUGGUUAAUAACCGCAGCGAUUGACGUUACUCGCAGAAGAAGCACCGGCUAACUCCGUGCCAGCAGCCGCGGUAAUACGGAGGGUGCAAGCGUUAAUCGGAAUUACUGGGCGUAAAGCGCACGCAGGCGGUCUGUCAAGUCGGAUGUGAAAUCCCCGGGCUCAACCUGGGAACUGCAUCCGAAACUGGCAGGCUAGAGUCUUGUGGAGGGGGGUAGAAUUCCAGGUGUAGCGGUGAAAUGCGUAGAGAUCUGGAGGAAUACCGGUGGCGAAGGCGGCCCCCUGGACAAAGACUGACGCUCAGGUGCGAAAGCGUGGGGAGCAAACA